GAUGAACGCUGGCGGCGUGCCUAAUACAUGCAAGUCGUACGGAAAGGCUCCUUCGGGAGUACUCGAGUGGCGGACGGCUGAGUAACACGUAGGAACGUACCCCAAAGUGAGGGAUAAGCACCAGAAAUGGUGUCUAAUACCGCAUGUGCUCUUCGGAGUAAAGCUUCGGCGCUUUGGGAACGGCCUGCGUAAGAUUAGCUAGUUGGUGAGGUAAUGGCUCACCAAGGCGANGAUCUUUAGUUGGUCUGAGAGGAUGAUCAGCCAGACUGGGACUGAGAACGGCCCAGACUCCUACGGGAGGCAGCAGUAGGGAAUUUUCCACAAUGGACGAAAGUCUGAUGGAGCAACGCCGCGUGCAGGAUGAAUGUCUUCGGAUUGUAAACUGCUUUUCUCUGUGACGAAUAUGACGGUAGCAGAGGAAUAAGGACCUGCUAACUACGUGCCAGCCGCCGCCGUAAG
rnacentral:rRNA from 1 species